rnacentral:rRNA from 1 species
AGAGUUUGAUCCUGGCUCAGAACGAACGCUGGCGGCAGGCUUAACACAUGCAAGUUGAACGGGAUUUGUGUGGUGCUUGCACCAUAUAAUGAGAGUAGCGCACUGGUGAGUAACACGUGGGAACGUACCUUUUGGUGGGGGACAACAUCUGGAAACGGAUGCUAAUACCGCAUAAGACCUGAGGGUGAAAGAUUUAUCGCCGAAAGAACGGCCCGCGGAAGAUUAGGCAGUUGGUGGGGUAAGGGCCUACCAAACCUACGAUCUAUAGCUGGUCUGAGAGGACGAUCAGCCACACUGGAACUGAGACACGGUCCAGACUCCUACGGGAGGCAGCAGUGAGGAAUAUUGGGCAAUGGAGGCAACUCUGACCCAGCCAUGCCGCGUGAGUGAAGAAGGUUUUCGGAUUGUAAAGCUCUUUCGGAUGUGACGAUGAUGACGGUAGCAUCUAAAGAAGCCCCGGCUAACUUCGUGCCAGCAGCCGCGGUAAUACGAAGGGGGCGAGCGUUGUUCGGAAUUACUGGGCGUAAAGGGUGUGUAGGCGGUUAUGUAAGAUAGCGGUGAAAUCCCGGGGCUUAACCUCGGAAUAGCCGUUAUAACUAUGUAGCUAGAGUUAUGGAGAGGAUAGCGGAAUACCCAGUGUAGAGGUGAAAUUCGUAGAUAUUGGGUAGAACACCGGUGGCGAAGGCGGCUAUCUGGCCAUAUACUGACGCUGAGGCACGAAAGCAUGGGGAUCAAACAGGAUUAGAUACCCUGGUAGUCCAUGCUGUAAACGAUGAAUGCUGGUUGUCGGCUUUAGGGUCGGUGACGAAGUUAACGCGAUAAGCAUUCCGCCUGGGGAGUACGGUCGCAAGAUUAAAACUCAAAGGAAUUGACGGGGACCCGCACAAGCGGUGGAGCAUGUGGUUUAAUUCGA